CUUUGUGGGGGCAUAUAGAAUAUUUAUAGAGCUAGGGGAAA
rnacentral:antisense_RNA from 1 species